rnacentral:rRNA from 1 species
GAUGAACGCUGGCGGCGUGCCUAAUACAUGCAAGUCGAACGGAGAUUGUAGCAAUACGGUCUUAGUGGCGAACGGGUGAGUAACGCGUUGGUAACCUGCCCCGAAGCGUGGGAUAACGGUCCGAAAGGGCCACUAAUACCACAUGUGAUCCCGAGGAAUAGAUACUUGGGAUGAAAGGAGCAAUUCGCUUCGGGAGGGACCUGCGUCCCAUCAGCUAGUUGGUAGGGUAACGGCCUACCAAGGCGAUGACGGGUAGGGGACCUGAGAGGGUGGCCCCCCACAAUGGAACUGAAACACGGUCCAUACACCUACGGGUGGCAGCAGUAGGGAAUAUUGGUUAAUGUGCGAAAGCGCGAACCAGCAACGCCGCGUGUGCGAUGAAGGCCUUCGGGUCGUAAAGCUACUUUUUGCAGGGAAGAGGAAGGACGGUACCUGCAGAAUAAGUCUCGGCUAACUACGUG